rnacentral:rRNA from 1 species
GAUUAAGUUAUUAAGGGCGCACGGUGGAUGCCUUGGCACUAGAAGCCAAUGAAGGACGUUACUAACGACGAUAUGCUUUGGGGAGCUGUAAGUAAGCUUUGAUCCAGAGAUUUCCGAAUGGGGAAACCCAGCAUGAGUUAUGUCAUGUUAUCGAUAUGUGAAUACAUAGCAUAUCAGAAGGCACACCCGGAGAACUGAAACAUCUUAGUACCCGGAGGAAGAGAAAGAAAAUUCGAUUCCCUUAGUAGCGGCGAGCGAAACGGGAAGAGCCCAAACCAACAAGCUUGCUUGUUGGGGUUGUAGGACACUCUAUACGGAGUUACAAAGGACGACAUUAGACGAAUCAUCUGGAAAGAUGAAUCAAAGAAGGUAAUAAUCCUGUAGUCGAAAAUGUUGUCUCUCUUGAGUGGAUCCUGAGUACGACGGAGCACGUGAAAUUCCGUCGGAAUCUGGGAGGACCAUCUCCUAAGGCUAAAUACUCUCUAGUGACCGAUAGUGAACCAGUACCGUGAGGGAAAGGUGAAAAGCACCCCGGAAGGGGAGUGAAAUAGAACCUGAAACCGUGUGCUUACAAGUAGUCAGAGCCCGUUAAUGGGUGAUGGCGUGCCUUUUGUAGAAUGAACCGGCGAGUUACGAUUUGAUGCAAGGUUAAGCAGUAAAUGUGGAGCCGUAGCGAAAGCGAGUCUGAAUAGGGCGUUUAGUAUUUGGUCGUAGACCCGAAACCAGGUGAUCUACCCUUGGUCAGGUUGAAGUUCAGGUAACACUGAAUGGAGGACCGAACCGACUUACGUUGAAAAGUGAGCGGAUGAACUGAGGGUAGCGGAGAAAUUUCAAUCGAACCUGGAGAUAGCUGGUUCUCUCCGAAAUAGCUUUAGGGCUAGCCUCAAGUGAUGAUUAUUGGAGGUAGAGCACUGUUUGGACGAGGGGCCCCUCUCGGGUUACCGAAUUCAGACAAACUCCGAAUGCCAAUUAAUUUAACUUGGGAGUCAGAACAUGGGUGAUAAGGUCCGUGUUCGAAAGGGAAACAGCCCAGACCACCAGCUAAGGUCCCAAAAUAUAUGUUAAGUGGAAAAGGAUGUGGCGUUGCCCAGACAACUAGGAUGUUGGCUUAGAAGCAGCCAUCAUUUAAAGAGUGCGUAAUAGCUCACUAGUCGAGUGACACUGCGCCGAAAAUGUACCGGGGCUAAACAUAUUACCGAAGCUGUGGAUUGUCCUUUGGACAAUGGUAGGAGAGCGUUCUAAGGGCGUUGAAGCAUGAUCGUAAGGACAUGUGGAGCGCUUAGAAGUGAGAAUGCCGGUGUGAGUAGCGAAAGACGGGUGAGAAUCCCGUCCACCGAUUGACUAAGGUUUCCAGAGGAAGGCUCGUCCGCUCUGGGUUAGUCGGGUCCUAAGCUGAGGCCGACAGGCGUAGGCGAUGGAUAACAGGUUGAUAUUCCUGUACCACCUAUAAUCGUUUUAAUCGAUGGGGGGACGCAGUAGGAUAGGCGAAGCGUGCGAUUGGAUUGCACGUCUAAGCAGUAAGGCUGAAUAUUAGGCAAAUCCGGUACUCGUUAAGGCUGAGCUGUGAUGGGGAGAAGACAUUGUGUCUUCGAGUCGUUGAUUUCACACUGCCGAGAAAAGCCUCUAGAUAGAAAAUAGGUGCCCGUACCGCAAACCGACACAGGUAGUCAAGAUGAGAAUUCUAAGGUGAGCGAGCGAACUCUCGUUAAGGAACUCGGCAAAAUGACCCCGUAACUUCGGGAGAAGGGGUGCUCUUUAGGGUUAACGCCCAGUAGAGCCGCAGUGAAUAGGCCCAAGCGACUGUUUAUCAAAAACACAGGUCUCUGCUAAACCGUAAGGUGAUGUAUAGGGGCUGACGCCUGCCCGGUGCUGGAAGGUUAAGAGGAGUGGUUAGCUUCUGCGAAGCUACGAAUCGAAGCCCCAGUAAACGGCGGCCGUAACUAUAACGGUCCUAAGGUAGCGAAAUUCCUUGUCGGGUAAGUUCCGACCCGCACGAAAGGCGUAACGAUUUGGGCACUGUCUCAACGAGAGACUCGGUGAAAUCAUAGUACCUGUGAAGAUGCAGGUUACCCGCGACAGGACGGAAAGACCCCGUGGAGCUUUACUGUAGCCUGAUAUUGAAAUUCGGCACAGCUUGUACAGGAUAGGUAGGAGCCUUUGAAACGUGAGCGCUAGCUUACGUGGAGGCGCUGGUGGGAUACUACCCUAGCUGUGUUGGCUUUCUAACCCGCACCACUUAUCGUGGUGGGAGACAGUGUCAGGCGGGCAGUUUGACUGGGGCGGUCGCCUCCUAAAAGGUAACGGAGGCGCUCAAAGGUUCCCUCAGAAUGGUUGGAAAUCAUUCAUAGAGUGUAAAGGCAUAAGGGAGCUUGACUGCGAGACCUACAAGUCGAGCAGGGUCGAAAGACGGACUUAGUGAUCCGGUGGUUCCGCAUGGAAGGGCCAUCGCUCAACGGAUAAAAGCUACCCCGGGGAUAACAGGCUUAUCUCCCCCAAGAGUUCACAUCGACGGGGAGGUUUGGCACCUCGAUGUCGGCUCAUCGCAUCCUGGGGCUGUAGUCGGUCCCAAGGGUUGGGCUGUUCGCCCAUUAAAGCGGUACGCGAGCUGGGUUCAGAACGUCGUGAGACAGUUCGGUCCCUAUCCGUCGUGGGCGUAGGAAAUUUGAGAGGAGCUGUCCUUAGUACGAGAGGACCGGGAUGGACAUACCUCUGGUGUACCAGUUGUCGUGCCAACGGCAUAGCUGGGUAGCUAUGUGUGGACGGGAUAAGUGCUGAAAGCAUCUAAGCAUGAAGCCCCCCUCAAGAUGAGAUUUCCCAACUUCGGUUAUAAGAUCCCUCAAAGAUGAUGAGGUUAAUAGGUUCGAGGUGGAAGCAUGGUGACAUGUGGAGCUGACGAAUACUAAUCGAUCGAAGACUUAAUCAA